rnacentral:rRNA from 1 species
GAUGGCGACCGGCGCACGGGUGAGUAACACGUAUCCAACCUGCCGAUAACUCGGGGAUAGCCUUUCGAAAGAAAGAUUAAUACCCGAUGGYAUAAUCAGACCGCAUGGUCUURUUAUUAAAGAAUUUCGGUUAUCGAUGGGGAUGCGUUCCAUUAGGCAGUUGGUGAGGUAACGGCUCACCAAACCUUCGAUGGAUAGGGGUUCUGAGAGGAAGGUCCCCCACAUUGGAACUGAGACACGGUCCAAACUCCUACGGGAGGCAGCAGUGAGGAAUAUUGGUCAAUGGGCGCAGGCCUGAACCAGCCAAGUAGCGUGAAGGAUGACUGCCCUAUGGGUUGUAAACUUCUUUUAUAUGGGAAUAAAGUUUUCCACGUGUGGAAUUUUGUAUGUACCAUAUGAAUAAGGAUCGGCUAACUCCGUGCCAGCAGCCGCGGUAAUACGGAGGAUCCGAGCGUUAUCCGGAUUUAUUGGGUUUAAAGGGAGCGUAGGUGGACAGUUAAGUCAGUUGUGAAAGUUUGCGGCUCAACCGUAAAAUUGCAGUUGAUACUGGCUGUCUUGAGUACAGUAGAGGUGGGCGGAAUUCGUGGUGUAGCGGUGAAAUGCUUAGAUAUCACGAAGAACUCCGAUU